AUCGGGCGGUUGCUAAUACAUGCAGUCGAACGCGUUGGCCCAAUUGAUUGAUGGUGCUUGCACCUGAUUGAUUUUGGUCGCCAACGAGUGGCGGACGGGUGAGUAACACGUAGGUAACCUGCCCAGAAGCGGGGGACAACAUUUGGAAACAGAUGCUAAUACCGCAUAACAGCGUUGUUCGCAUGAACAACGCUUAAAAGAUGGCUUCUCGCUAUCACUUCUGGAUGGACCUGCGGUGCAUUAGCUUGUUGGUGGGGUAACGGCCUACCAAGGCGAUGAUGCAUAGCCGAGUUGAGAGACUGAUCGGCCACAAUGGGACUGAGACACGGCCCAUACUCCUACGGGAGGCAGCAGUAGGGAAUCUUCCACAAUGGGCGCAAGCCUGAUGGAGCAACACCGCGUGAGUGAAGAAGGGUUUCGGCUCGUAAAGCUCUGUUGUUAAAGAAGAACACGUAUGAGAGUAACUGUUCAUACGUUGACGGUAUUUAACCAGAAAGUCACGGCUAACUACGUGCCAGCAGCCGCGGUAAUACGUAGGUGGCAAGCGUUAUCCGGAUUUAUUGGGCGUAAAGAGAGUGCAGGCGGUUUUCUAAGUCUGAUGUGAAAGCCUUCGGCUUAACCGGAGAAGUGCAUCGGAAACUGGAUAACUUGAGUGCAGAAGAGGGUAGUGGAACUCCAUGUGUAGCGGUGGAAUGCGUAGAUAUAUGGAAGAACACCAGUGGCGAAGGCGGCUACCUGGUCUGCAACUGACGCUGAGACUCGAAAGCAUGGGUAGCGAACAGGAUUAGAUACCCUGGUAGUCCAUGCCGUAAACGAUGAGUGCUAGGUGUUGGAGGGUUUCCGCCCUUCAGUGCCGGAGCUAACGCAUUAAGCACUCCGCCUGGGGAGUACGACCGCAAGGUUGAAACUCAAAGGAAUUGACGGGGGCCCGCACAAGCGGUGGAGCAUGUGGUUUAAUUCGAAGCUACGCGAAGAACCUUACCAGGUCUUGACAUCUUGCGCCAACCCUAGAGAUAGGGCGUUUCCUUCGGGAACGCAAUGACAGGUGGUGCAUGGUCGUCGUCAGCUCGUGUCGUGAGAUGUUGGGUUAAGUCCCGCAACGAGCGCAACCCUUGUUACUAGUUGCCAGCAUUAAGUUGGGCACUCUAGUGAGACUGCCGGUGACAAACCGGAGGAAGGUGGGGACGACGUCAGAUCAUCAUGCCCCUUAUGACCUGGGCUACACACGUGCUACAAUGGACGGUACAACGAGUCGCGAACUCGCGAGGGCAAGCAAAUCUCUUAAAACCGUUCUCAGUUCGGACUGCAGGCUGCAACUCGCCUGCACGAAGUCGGAAUCGCUAGUAAUCGCGGAUCAGCAUGCCGCGGUGAAUACGUUCCCGGGCCUUGUACACACCGCCCGUCACACCAUGAGAGUUUGUAACACCCAAAGUCGGUGGGGUAACCUUUAGGAGCCAGCCGCGUAAGGGG
rnacentral:rRNA from 1 species